rnacentral:rRNA from 1 species
GACGAACGCUGGCGGCGUGCUUAACACAUGCAAGUCGAACGGAAAGGCCCUUCGGGGUACUCGAGUGGCGAACGGGUGAGUAACACGUGGGUGAUCUGCCCUGCACUUGGGGAUAAGCCUGGGAAACUGGGUCUAAUACCGAAGAGGACCACGCGCUUCAUGGUGUGUGGUGGAAAGCUUUUGCGGGGUAGGAUGGGCCCGCGGCCUAUCAGCUUGUUGGUGGGGUAAUGGGGUACCAAGGCGACGAAGGGUAGCCGUCCUGAGAGGGUGACCGGCCACACUGGGACUGAGAUACGGCGCAGACGCCUACGGGAGGCAGCAGUGGGGAAUAUUGCACAAUGGGCGCAAGCCUGAUGCAGCGACGCCGCGUGAGGGAUGCCGGCCUUCGGGUUGUAAACCUCUUUCAAUAGGGACGAAGCGCAAGUGACGGUACCUAUAGAAGAAGCACCGGCUAACUACGUG